rnacentral:rRNA from 1 species
GAUGAACGCUAGCUACAGGCUUAACACAUGCAAGUCAAGGGGCAGCACAGUGUAGCAAUACAUGGGUGGCGACCGGCGCACGGGUGCGUAACGCGUAUCCAACCUUCCCGUUACUCAGGGAUAGCCUUCCGAAAGGGAGAUUAAUACCUGAUGGUGUUGAAAUUCCGCAUGUUAUUUCAACUAAAGAUUUAUCGGUAACGGAUGGGGAUGCGUGACAUUAGGUAGAUGGCGGGGUAACGGCCCACCAUGCCUACGAUGUCUAGGGGUUCUGAGAGGAAGGUCCCCCACACUGGAACUGAGACACGGUCCAGACUCCUACGGGAGGCAGCAGUGAGGAAUAUUGGUCAAUGGUCGGAAGACUGAACCAGCCAAGUAGCGUGAAGGAUGAAGGUUCUAUGGAUUGUAAACUUCUUUUAUACGGGAAUAAAACCUCCCACGUGUGGGAGCUUGUAUGUACCGUAUGAAUAAGCAUCGGCUAACUCCGUGCCAGCAGCCGCCGUAAUAC